rnacentral:rRNA from 1 species
AGUGAACGCUGGCGGUAGGCCUAACACAUGCAAGUCGAACGGCAGCACAGUAAGAGCUUGCUCUUACGGGUGGCGAGUGGCGGACGGGUGAGGUAUACAUCGGAAUCUACUUUUUCGUGGGGGAUAACGUAGGGAAACUUACGCUAAUACCGCAUACGACCUACGGGUGAAAGCAGGGGAUCUUUGGACCUUGCGCGAUUGAAUGAGCCGAUGUCGGAUUAGCUAGUUGGCGGGGUAAAGGCCCACCAAGGCGACGAUCCGUAGCUGGUCUGAGAGGAUGAUCAGCCACACUGGAACUGAGACACGGUCCAGACUCCUACGGGAGGCAGCAGUGGGGAAUAUUGGACAAUGGGCGCAAGCCUGAUCCAGCCAUACCGCGUGGGUGAAGAAGGCCUUCGGGUUGUAAAGCCCUUUUGUUGGGAAAGAAAAGCAGCAGGUUAAUACCCCGCUGUUCUGACGGUACCCAAAGAAUAAGCACCGGCUAACUUCGUG